rnacentral:lncRNA from 1 species
CGAACACGUAUGAAAUGAGACAGCCGAAAAAUCGGCUAAGUCCUGGAGGAUCAGCUCUCGGGAACCGGUCUCUGUCUGAGAGACCGGUCCCCCGGAGACCGGUCCCACCAGAGAGGGACCGGAUGCAUUGCGCGCGGCAGCUCUGGCUGCGCAGGGUGGACCUUCGGGGACCGGUCCCUGCUCGGGGAGACCGGUCUCNAAAGGUAUCGCGCCUUAGUCAGAGGCCACCACAGUUGGGUUCAUUUUGUAGUAAAGUACCCUAUGAUCAUCUUUUGUACUUGAUGAUGAAUGAUGUAAAGAAAGGAAUGUAAUGUGUAUUUUGAGGUAAAUGUGAUGUAAGAAAGAAAUGAUGAAACGAAAUGUAAGGAAUUCGAAAAAUUACAAGUUGGAUGUAUGUAUAUGAUCUAAAUUGAAUCAUACUACAAGUGAAUGUUUAGUUUUCCUUUCUUUCACUAAUGGCUAU